UUUUAUGAUGCUAUGUAUAAGCUACUACACUACGAUUUAGUUACGAAAAUGAGGUGUUCAUCACAGAGACCAACUAAAAAUCGUCACAAACUAGUUUAAUGUAGCAUCGUGACAAAUGUUAUGUUGUCAUAAAUGCUAGCUAGCAAACGUCACAAGUUAAUGAUGAUAUUGAUUCAUCAUAAGUAUUUGUUUUCAAAAAGAAGUGCUUGGUAUAUUAGUGGGUUCUACUGCCACUUGUCAAGUGGAUCCAACACAACAUUUUUUAUUUCUCUCUACUGUUCGUUCUUCC
rnacentral:lncRNA from 1 species